UACGAAGGGGGCUAGCGUUGUUCGGAGUUACUGGGCGUAAAGGGCGCGCAGGCGGCGGUGCUGGCCCGGCGUGAAAGCCCCCGGCUCAACCGGGGAGGGUCGUCGGGGACCGCACCGCUUGAGGGCGGUAGGGGCCGGUGGAAUGCCUGGUGUAGUGGUGAAAUGCGUAGAGAUCAGGCAGAACACCUGGGGCGAAGGCGGCCGGCUGGGCCGACCCUGACGCUGAGGCGCGAAGGCGUGGGGAGCGAACGGG
rnacentral:rRNA from 1 species